rnacentral:rRNA from 1 species
AAAAUAGAAAAUUAAUAAUUUUUUUUGUUUUUAAAAAUUUUUUUAAUAAAAAUAUUUUUAUCUUUUUAGUAAUUAAAAAUGAAAAAAUAAAUAUUAUUUAUAGUGAAAAGUAUUGAAAAAGAAAUUUGAAAUAAAUUGAAAAAUAAUUUUUUAAAAAGAAAAAUUUAUUUUUUGUUCCUUGUGUAUCAGGAUUAAUUAAAAAAAUAUUUUUAAUUAAAAAUAAUUUAUAAUUUAAAAGAUUUAUAAAUUUUUGAUUUUUAUUAUUUUAAAUAUAUUAGUUAAAAAUUUAUUGAAAUGAGACGUUAAUCGUUUUUAAAGUUAUAUAAUUUUUAAAGAAAUAAAUUUAAUUUAUUAAUAAAUUUUUAUUAUAAUUAUAUUUAAUUAUGAUUAUAAUUAAUUUAUUAAAAUAUUUUAAGGGUUGAGCUUUAAAAUAAAAAUUUAAAAAUAAUUUUAAAAAAGUAAUAAAUAAUAAUCUUAAAAAUAGAUAUUUAUAGUUAAUUUGUUUUAAUUAAUUUUAGUUUUUUUAAUAUUUAUUAUUUUAUAAUAUUUUAAGUUUUUAUUUAAAUAAUUAUUUUAAUUAAAAAAAUAAUUUAAUAAUAAUUAAAUUAGUAAUUUUUAUAUUAUUUUAAAUAAUAUUAAUAAUUUUUGUUAUAUUUAAUUUAUGAACUAGGCAAUAUUGUUUUUAACUGUUUAACAAAAACAUUGUUUUUUUUAUAUUUUAAAAAAUAAGACCUGCACACUGAUAUUUUAAAGAGCCGCGGUAAUUUGACCGUGCAAAGGUAGCAUAAUCAUUAGUUUUUUAAUUGAAGACUGGAAUGAAAGGUUUAAUAAGAAAUGAUCUUUAUUAUUUAAAAAUUUAAUGAAUUUAUUGUUUUAGUAAAAAAACUAAAAUGAUAAAAAAAGACGAUAAGACCCUAUAAAGCUUUAUAAUAUAAAUUUAUAUUAUUUUAUUAGAAUAGUAAAAAUUUUGUAAAUUAGUUAUUUGAUUGGGGUGAUUUAAAGAUUUAAUUAACUCUUUAUAUUAUUUAUUUAAUAAUAGUUAAAAUAAAAGAUCCUGAUAUUUUGGAUUUUAAAAUUAAGUUACUUUAGGGAUAACAGCGUAAUUUUUUUAGAGAGUUCAUAUCGAUAAAAGAGUUUGCGACCUCGAUGUUGGAUUAAGAUAUAAUUUUAGGUGUAGAAGUUUAAAUUUUUAGUCUGUUCGACUAUAUAUUCUUACAUGAUCUGAGUUCAAACCGGUUUAAGCCAGGUUGGUUUCUAUCUUUUUUUAAUUAUUAUAUUUUAGUACGAAAGGACCAAAUAUAAAAAAUUAUUUUUUUGAAAAUGAAUAAAAUUAAUAUAUUAAAAAUUUUUAUAUAUUUAUUUUAGUUU